rnacentral:rRNA from 1 species
GACGAACGCUGGCGGCGUGCCUAAUACAUGCAAGUCGAGCGGAUGACGGAGGAGCUUGCUCCUCCUGAUUCAGCGGCGGACGGGUGAGUAACACGUGGGCAACCUGCCCUGUAGAUUGGGAUAACUCCGGGAAACCGGGGCUAAUACCGAAUAAUCCUUCGGACCUCAUGGUCCGAUGUUGAAAGACGGCUUCGGCUAUCACUACAGGAUGGGCCCGCGGCGCAUUAGCUAGUUGGUGAGGUAACGGCUCACCAAGGCGACGAUGCGUAGCCGACCUGGGAGGGUGAUCGGCCACACUGGGACUGAGACACGGGCCAGACUCCUACGGGAGGCAGCAGUAGGGAAUCUUCCACAAUGGACGAAAGUCUGAUGGAGCAACGCCGCGUGAGUGAAGAAGGUUCUCGGAUCGUAAAACUCUGUUGUGAGGGAAGAACAAGUACCGGAGUAACUGCCGGUACCUUGACGGUACCUCAUUAGAAAGCCACGGCUAACUACGUGCCAGCAGCCGCCGCCG